UCCGGUGUGGCGCAAUGGCAGCGCAAUCGGCUGUUAACCGAUUUGUUGUAGGUUCGAAUCCUACCACCGGAGCCA
rnacentral:tRNA from 1 species